rnacentral:rRNA from 1 species
CCUACGGGCGGCAGCAGUGAGGAAUAUUGGUCAAUGGACGAGAGUCUGAACCAGCCAAGUAGCGUGAAGGAUGACUGCCCUAUGGGUUGUAAACUUCUUUUAUAUGGGAAUAAAACGUUCCACGUGUGGGAUUUUGUAUGUACCAUAUGAAUAAGGAUCGGCUAACUCCGUGCCAGCAGCCGCGGUAAUACGGAGGAUCCGAGCGUUAUCCGGAUUUAUUGGGUUUAAAGGGAGCGUAGGUGGAUUGUUAAGUCAGUUGUGAAAGUUUGCGGCUCAACCGUAAAAUUGCAGUUGAAACUGGCAGUCUUGAGUACAGUAGAGGUGGGCGGAAUACGUGGUGUAGCGGUGAAAUGCUUAGAUAUCACGAAGAACUCCGAUUGCGAAGGCAGUUCACUGGACUGCAACUGACACUGAGGCUCGAAAGUGUGGGUAUCAAACAGGAUUAGAUACCCUAGUAGUC